AACAUACCUAAACGUUGCCUCGGCGGGAACAGACGGCCCCGUGAAAACGGGCCGCCCCCGCCAGAGGACCCCCUAACUCUGUUUCUAUAAUGUUUCUUCUGAGUAAAACAAGCAAAUAAAUUAAAACUUUCAACAACGGAUCUCUUGGCUCUGGCAUCGAUGAAGAACGCAGCGAAAUGCGAUAAGUAAUGUGAAUUGCAGAAUUCAGUGAAUCAUCGAAUCUUUGAACGCACAUUGCGCCCGCCAGUAUUCUGGCGGGCAUGCCUGUUCGAGCGUCAUUACAACCCUCAGGCCCCCGGGCCUGGCGUUGGGGAUCGGCGGAGGCCCCCCGUGGGCACACGCCGUCCCCCAAAUACAGUGGCGGUCCCGCCGCAGCUUCCAUCGCGUAGUAGCUAACACCUCGCGACUGGAGAGCGGCGCGGCCACGCCGUAAAACCCCCAACUCUUCUGAA
rnacentral:misc_RNA from 1 species